rnacentral:lncRNA from 1 species
AUGGACCCGCUCUGCUCCUGCUCGUCCUCGCUGCGGGGCACUUGGGGCACUCCCUGGUGCCACGGACACAUCCCCAAGGCUGGCACCGGGGUGACAGCUCCUGAAGCAGCUUUGGUGCCAGCCCGGUGCAAAUCUUGGAGUGGGGACAGGACAUUUCACCCUUCACAGCACCGGGGAGCACCAGGGCUUUGCCUGGAGCGGGGCAGGGGCUGUCUGUCCCCUGCUGGCUUCCCACCAUGGGCACCACAAACACCCCAAAACCCCGCGGCUGCUUCUUGCACAUCCUGGAAGCAGAAAAGUGGGACUUCUUCUCACUGGGUUACACAGCCAGCGAGCGGAGGCCUUGGGAAUCGGCCCGUCCCCAUCGACAUGGGGACUGUGGUGGCACCGGGGAGCCCUGGAGGGAGCAGCGGGGCCCGUCCCCACCGCGGGCACGCCGCCGUCACGCCCUUUGCUCUCGUCCUCGCUUGGCCCGCGGGGAGGAACCGCGGCCUGACUCAUCGGGGCUGGGCCCCGCCGGUGCCGCCGUCCUUUCGCCGCUCCCUCGGGCUGGCGGUGCGGCCAAGGCUGGGGUCGGCACAGCCAAACGGUGACCAUGGGCACGGGCUCCCCUCGGCGCCGUUUUCGCCGCCUCGUCGCAGCGGGGCCGCCCGAGCCGUGGGUGUUUGGCUGAAGGAGGAGGAACCGGGGAGCCGCGCGGUGCCCGUCUCUAAAAUUAGCCUUUUUCUGGGUGGGAGCGUGGCGAUGAGCUGCCCGCAGCCGCCCCGCGCUGAGAUUAAAGAGCUGAGAGCACCGGGGAGGGCAGCGCCGGGCGGGCAGCGCCUGCCAUGGUGGCUCGCAGGGUGCAGAGCGCGGCCGGCUGCCAGCGUGGGGAUUUCGGGGCUGAGCCUCGUGCCCAGGGCAGGGAAUUCCCGAAGGCGGUGGCCGGCAGCGAGCUUUGUUGGCGAGGUUUUGGCUGAAGCAAGAGAAACGGAGCCUCGUGGCGAGGGGAUGGCAGCGCUCCAUUUACCCUGA